AGAAGAUUGGCUGAGUGGUUUAAAGCGGCUGUUUUGAAUGCAGUUAAGGUUAAAAACUUCAAGGGUUCGAAUCUCUUAUCUUCUG
rnacentral:tRNA from 1 species